AGAGUUUGAUCAUGGCUCAGAGUGAACGCUGGCGGCGUGCUUAACACAUGCAAGUCGAGCGGACUUUGGCAGCACAUCGCCAGAGUUAGCGGCAGACGGGUGAGUAACACUUGGGCAAUCUGCCCUCGAGAGGGAGACAACCUGCCGAAAGGCGGGCUAAUAUCCCGUAAGACCACAGGGUCGCAUGACUCAGGGGUCAAAGCUCCGCAAGGGGCGCUUGAGGAGGAGCCCGAGGCCUAUCAUGGUAGUUGGCGGGGUAACGGCCCACCAAGCCGUUGACGGGUAGCCGGCCUGAAAGGGUGAACGGCCACACUGGCACUGAGACACGGGCCAGACUCCUACGGGAGGCAGCAGUGGGGAAUUUUGGACAAUGGGGGCAACCCUGAUCCAGCGACGCCGCGUGGAGGACGAAGGUCUUCGGAUUGUAAACUCCUUUUAGAGGGGACGAAUGCCUGCGUGAAUAACGCAGGGUGACGGUACUCUCUGAAUAAGCCACGGCUAACUACGUGCCAGCAGCCGCGGUAAUACGUAGGUGGCAAGCGUUACUCGGAAUCACUAGGCGUAAAGUGCGGGUAGGCGGUUCGGUAAGUCUCUUGUGAAAGCUCCCGGCUCAACUGGGAGAGGUCAAGGGAAACUACCGGGCUAGAGUGCGACAGAGGAAGCUGGAACUCCCGGUGUAGCGGUGAAAUGCGUAGAUAUCGGGAGGAACACCUAAGGCGAAAGCAGGCUUCUGGGCCGUCACUGACGCUGAUCUGCGAAAGCUAGGGGAGCAAACAGGAUUAGAUACCCUAGUAGUCC
rnacentral:rRNA from 1 species